rnacentral:rRNA from 1 species
GGGUCUGUAGCCGGCCAAGUAAGUCCCUUGGGAAAUCUGGCAGCUUAACUGUCAGGCUGCUAGGGGAUACUGCUAGGCUUGGGACCGGGAGAGGUGAGAGGUACCUUGGGGGUAGGGGUGAAAUCUUGUGAUCCUCGGGGGACCACCAGUGGCGAAGGCGUCUCACCAGAACGGGUCCGACGGUAAGGGACGAAAGCUAGGGGCACGAACCGGAUUAGAUACCCGGGUAGUCCUAGCCGUAAACGAUGCUCGCUAGGUGUCAGUCACGGUGCGACCGUGAUUGGUGCCGUAGGGAAGCCGUGAAGCGAGCCACCUGGGAAGUAUGGCCGCAAGGCUGAAACUUAAAGGAAUUGGCGGGGGAGCACUACAACGGGUGGAGCCUGCGGUUUAAUUGGAUUCAACGCCGGAAAUCUCACCGGGGGCGACAGCGAUAUGAAGGUCAGGCUGAAGACCUUACCCGAUUAGCUGAGA